rnacentral:rRNA from 1 species
CACGUAGGGCGCAAGCGUUGUCCGGAAUUAUUGGGCGUAAAGAGCUCGUAGGCGGUCUGUUGCGUCCGCUGUGAAAACUCGGGGCUUAACCCCGAGCCUGCAGUGGAUACGGGCAGACUAGAGGUAGGUAGGGGAGAAUGGAAUUCCCGGUGUAGAGGUGAAAUUCGUAGAUAUCGGGAGGAACACCAGUGGCGAAGGCGGCGACCUGGGCCAAUAGUUGACGCUGAGGUGCGAAAGCGAUGGGGAGCAAACAGGG